rnacentral:rRNA from 1 species
CAUGCAAGUCGAACGGAGAUUACAGGCGGAAGUUUUCGGAUGGAAGCUUGUAAACUUAGUGGCGGACGGGUGAGUAACACGUGAGCAACCUGCCUAUCAGAGGGGGAUAACGAUUGGAAACGAUCGCUAAUACCGCAUGACAUAGCGGAACCGCAUGGUUUUGUUAUCAAAGAUUUUAUCGCUGAUAGAUGGGCUCGCGUCCGAUUAGAUAGUUGGUGGGGUAACGGCCUACCAAGUCGACGAUCGGUAGCCGGACUGAGAGGUCGAACGGCCACAUUGGGACUGAGACACGGCCCAGACUCCUACGGGAGGCAGCAGUGGGGGAUAUUGCACAAUGGGGGAAACCCUGAUGCAGCGACGCCGCGUGAGGGAAGACGGUCCUCUGGAUUGUAAACCUCUGUCUUCGGGGACGAAACGAGACGGUACCCGAGGAGGAAGCCACGGCUAACUACGUGCCAGCAGCCGCGGUAAUACGUAGGUGGCAAGCGUUGUCCGGAAUUACUGGGUGUAAAGGGAGCGUAGGCGGGCAGGCAAGUCAGGCGUGAAAUAUAUCGGCUCAACCGGUAACGGCGCUUGAAACUGCAGGUCUUGAGUGAAGUAGAGGUUGGCGGAAUUCCUAGUGUAGCGGUGAAAUGCGUAGAUAUUAGGAGGAACACCAGUGGCGAAGGCGGCCAACUGGGCUUUUACUGACGCUGAGGCUCGAAAGUGUGGGGAGCAAACAGGAUUAGAUACCCUGGUAGUCCACACCGUAAACGAUGAUUACUAGGUGUGGGGGGACUGACCCCUUCCGUGCCGGAGUUAACACAAUAAGUAAUCCACCUGGGG